UGGGGAAUUUUGACAUGGGCGAAAGCCUGAUCCAGCAAUGCCGCGUGUGUGAAGAAGGCCUUCGGGUUGUAAAGCACUUUUGUCCGGAAAGAAAUCCUUGGCUCUAAUACAGUCGGGGGAUGACGGUACCGGAAGAAUAAGCACCGGCUAACUACGUGCCAGCAGCCGCGGUAAUACGUAGGGUGCAAGCGUUAAUCGGAAUUACUGGGCGUAAAGCGUGCGCAGGCGGUUUGCUAAGACCGAUGUGAAAUCCCCGGGCUCAACCUGGGAACUGCAUUGGUGACUGGCAGGCUAGAGUAUGGCAGAGGGGGGUAGAAUUCCACGUGUAGCAGUGAAAUGCGUAGAGAUGUGGAGGAAUACCGAUGGCGAAGGCAGCCCCCUGGGCCAAUACUGACGCUCAUGCACGAAAGCGUGGGGAGCAAACAGGAUUAGAUACCCUGGUAGUCCACGCCCUAAACGAUGUCAACUAGUUGUUGGGGAUUCAUUUCCUUAGUAACGUAGCUAACGCGUGAAGUUGACCGCCUGGGGAGUACGGUCGCAAGAUUAAAACUCAAAUGAAUUGACGGGGUCAUAGCUGUUUCCU
rnacentral:rRNA from 1 species